UACACUUUGGGGGUCCAGAUGUAAUACUAAUUUCUCUUGCACCGCCUCCUGCCAGCCUUCGAUGAAGGUUCGUUAACAUAUAUCUUUCAAAUCAACACGCCAGCGAACCUACUGACGGUCUCUUUAAACGGCACUGAGUGCAGGGGUGGGAUGAGGAAAUCACACCGGGUUCUCUGGCGGAGUUGUACGCACGGUCUUGCUGGCUCAGUGAAAUCUAAUUCGCUCCCGCUGGUGUCAUUGCACACUAAAAGACGUCAUGUUGUGGUUCUUCCACGAAGGACUCCCACUAACAGCCUUAUCGGUAUCUUUGUCAGAGCAUGUUUUAUUCAAACUGUGCGCACGUUGUCUGUAAAACUGUCCAGAUUAUCACCCAAUUGUGAGGUCCUAGAGUCUAGACUCAGGUGAGCUGCCCCACGUCUCGAGUCACACAGGGAAUUGCGCCACCCACUGGGUUUAUGCCAUAUUGCAGCCACUCGACACCUUUUCCGGGAACCAUUCAAAUAGCCGAUUUGAAUAUAAGUCAUAAUGUUCCAAAUGAAUCACAUUCAGGUGUGGCAAACCUAUGCAAUGCAUGCCCAAGAUGCCAUGCAAAAAAUUUGGUUGACAUGUGGCAUGGAGUGCCACCCCUCAGUUCUUUAACAUCCAAAAUAAUAAAAAUACAUAAUGACUAUCUUCACUGCCAAAUGAAGCAGCAAAUUAUUUUUUUAAAACCUGAGAGCAGUGAGAUGUUUUCAUAGGAUACGUCUCAUGACGGCUUGGCACCAGCUAGAAGAUUGCAAGAACAUGGACGUUAAGGAGGUUCAAGAACGUGUGGCAUUGGUGAUAUCUUUUGAAUUCCUCGCAUACCUGGUGUACAUGUCAAUACUGGAGCAGACAUAUUGAUGAAACUGGUGCUAUGCGCUGAGCUCGAGCUCCCAAAACAAUCAAACACAAGCUGGAUAUAAAAUAUUUGAUAUCAUAAACAGAGCAACAAAAAUCUACUGAGGGACACCCACCCACCUGUGACUCCAAGUAGCUGUUUGCAUUCAACAGCGGCCACACCCCAGUACACUGCUUCGACAGGUGGGCUAAACCAGGUAAGGGCCUUGAAAUUUGGUGAGGGACGACCAUAUUUGUCCUAGCAUGUGACGUCAGUUCCAGCAGACUGGGAGAGUGAAGGCAUGACGAGGCACAAAAGAAGUCAAGGCCCUCCACGGCAAUCAAGGACGUCCCCAGUUGUGAUGUCUGCUCGCACUACUGGACGUAGGUUCCCGAGGUCGACAGAGCGGAACUGCCAGAUUCCUGAGCUUUGCUACUUUAAAAACUCUCCAGCACAGGUUUCAAAGGUCAUUGACAGAAAUCAGUCAAUCAACCAUAUCUCCGAAAUGAGAGUCAAGGCAAAUAUUUUCCUUGUCACUCUCUUACUUCACCGUAAUAUUGUUCUGUGGAGGUCAAGCAAAUGUUACAACCAUGUGUCCUUCUCUACUUCCAUAUAGGCAGUGAUAUUUGCCAAGAAAUAUGACUAUAAAAUAUUUGGUGGAUAACUUAUUUUCAAUGUUGGUGGAUAACUAUCUGAUAUUUGUUCAAUGUAUCUCAGAACCAGUAACUAGAACUCGUUCCCUGAGGUAGUCUUUAAUCUGAACACAUCAUGGGCGAUCUAAAUGACACCUGGGGCUGCUGCCAAUGUUAUAUCGAUCUGUGACCCAGGUUAUUGUUUAGAGUACCGUUAACUCAAGGGGAAAAAGAGUGAGUCAUUAUUCUCAUGAUACUAUGGGAAAACAUGAUCAAAUGUGUGAAUUUUAUACAAUCAUGAAUCAAUCUAAGUUAAUUUUCAUUUUUGGUCAUUAAUUAAAUAGAGACAUAAGGAAGUACAGUGCAGAAACUGUCCCUUUGGCCCAUCUAAUCCAUGCCAAACUGUUUAAACUGCCUAGUGCCUUUGACUUGCACCUGGACCACAGCCCUCCACACCCCUGCUAUCCAUGUACCUAUCCAAACUUCUCUUAAAUGUUGAAAUUGAGUUUGCAUGCACCACUAGUGCUGGCAGCUCAUUCCACACUCCCAUAACCCUCUGAGUGAAGAGGUUUCCCCUCAUGUUGCCUUAAACUUUUCACCUUUUACCCUUAACCCAUGGCCUCUAGUUGUAGCCUCACCAUCGGGAAAAAAGAAAUGACAAAUCUGAAUUAUGAAGAGAUUCAUAAUGGGUUCUACGGAACUUUCAUUGUGUGCUGUGUCUGCGAGGCUGAGUCGGGCGGCACCGUGUAGGUCCAUAGCGGGGGUAUUCCCGUUUGCCGCUGGCAUGGGAUGGCCAGUCUGUCGGGACCCUGGGAACUUGUGGAAACUGUGUGGUGAUUUCUUUUGAACUUAUAGUCCUUUAACAUCUUUGGGCUACUUUUACUGUGCCCAUAGUCUUCUUUUUUUAUCAAUUAUGCUAUUGUUUGCACUGUUGUAACUCUAUGUUGUAACUAUGUGGUUUUGUGCAGGUCUUGUAGCUUUAGUUUUUGGUCUUGUUUUUGUCUGGUGGAUUUGGAGCUCCUUUCCGGGGAACGCGCUAAGACGAUAGCGCGAUAUUAAUACGCAGCAGCGUCUCCGGACUCUGGAUUGGGGAUUGCCAAAAGUUAUGUGGA